AGCGUACACGGUGGAUGCCCUGGCAGUCAGAGGCGAUGAAGGACGUGCUAAUCUGCGAUAAGCGUCGGUAAGGUGAUAUGAACCGUUAUAACCGGCGAUUUCCGAAUGGGGAAACCCAGUGUGAUUCGUCACACUAUCAUUAACUGAAUCCAUAGGUUAAUGAGGCGAACCGGGGGAACUGAAACAUCUAAGUACCCCGAGGAAAAGAAAUCAACCGAGAUUCCCCCAGUAGCGGCGAGCGAACGGGGAGCAGCCCAGAGCCUGAAUCAGUGUGUGUGUUAGUGGAAGCGUCUGGAAAGGCGCGCGAUACAGGGUGACAGCCCCGUACACAAAAAUGCACAUACUGUGAGCUCGAUGAGUAGGGCGGGACACGUGGUAUCCUGUCUGAAUAUGGGGGGACCAUCCUCCAAGGCUAAAUACUCCUGACUGACCGAUAGUGAACCAGUACCGUGAGGGAAAGGCGAAAAGAACCCCGGCGAGGGGAGUGAAAAAGAACCUGAAACCGUGUACGUACAAGCAGUGGGAGCACGCUUAGGCGUGUGACUGCGUACCUUUUGUAUAAUGGGUCAGCGACUUAUAUUCUGUAGCAAGGUUAACCGAAUAGGGGAGCCGAAGGGAAACCGAGUCUUAACUGGGCGUUAAGUUGCAGGGUAUAGACCCGAAACCCGGUGAUCUAGCCAUGGGCAGGUUGAAGGUUGGGUAACACUAACUGGAGGACCGAACCGACUAAUGUUGAAAAAUUAGCGGAUGACUUGUGGCUGGGGGUGAAAGGCCAAUCAAACCGGGAGAUAGCUGGUUCUCCCCGAAAGCUAUUUAGGUAGCGCCUCGUGAAUUCAUCUCCGGGGGUAGAGCACUGUUUCGGCAAGGGGGUCAUCCCGACUUACCAACCCGAUGCAAACUGCGAAUACCGGAGAAUGUUAUCACGGGAGACACACGGCGGGUGCUAACGUCCGUCGUGAAGAGGGAAACAACCCAGACCGCCAGCUAAGGUCCCAAAGUCAUGGUUAAGUGGGAAACGAUGUGGGAAGGCCCAGACAGCCAGGAUGUUGGCUUAGAAGCAGCCAUCAUUUAAAGAAAGCGUAAUAGCUCACUGGUCGAGUCGGCCUGCGCGGAAGAUGUAACGGGGCUAAACCAUGCACCGAAGCUGCGGCAGCGACGCUGAUGCGUUGUUGGGUAGGGGAGCGUUCUGUAAGCCUGCGAAGGUGUGCUGUGAGGCAUGCUGGAGGUAUCAGAAGUGCGAAUGCUGACAUAAGUAACGAUAAAGCGGGUGAAAAGCCCGCUCGCCGGAAGACCAAGGGUUCCUGUCCAACGUUAAUCGGGGCAGGGUGAGUCGACCCCUAAGGCGAGGCCGAAAGGCGUAGUCGAUGGGAAACAGGUUAAUAUUCCUGUACUUGGUGUUACUGCGAAGGGGGGACGGAGAAGGCUAUGUUGGCCGGGCGACGGUUGUCCCGGUUUAAGCGUGUAGGCUGGUUUUCCAGGCAAAUCCGGAAAACUAAGGCUGAGGCGUGAUGACGAGGCACUACGGUGCUGAAGCAACAAAUGCCCUGCUUCCAGGAAAAGCCUCUAAGCAUCAGGUAACAUCAAAUCGUACCCCAAACCGACACAGGUGGUCAGGUAGAGAAUACCAAGGCGCUUGAGAGAACUCGGGUGAAGGAACUAGGCAAAAUGGUGCCGUAACUUCGGGAGAAGGCACGCUGAUAUGUAGGUGAAGCGACUUGCUCGUGGAGCUGAAAUCAGUCGAAGAUACCAGCUGGCUGCAACUGUUUAUUAAAAACACAGCACUGUGCAAACACGAAAGUGGACGUAUACGGUGUGACGCCUGCCCGGUGCCGGAAGGUUAAUUGAUGGGGUCAGCGCAAGCGAAGCUCUUGAUCGAAGCCCCGGUAAACGGCGGCCGUAACUAUAACGGUCCUAAGGUAGCGAAAUUCCUUGUCGGGUAAGUUCCGACCUGCACGAAUGGCGUAAUGAUGGCCAGGCUGUCUCCACCCGAGACUCAGUGAAAUUGAACUCGCUGUGAAGAUGCAGUGUACCCGCGGCAAGACGGAAAGACCCCGUGAACCUUUACUAUAGCUUGACACUGAACAUUGAGCCUUGAUGUGUAGGAUAGGUGGGAGGCUUUGAAGUGUGGACGCCAGUCUGCAUGGAGCCGACCUUGAAAUACCACCCUUUAAUGUUUGAUGUUCUAACGUUGACCCGUGAUCCGGGUUGCGGACAGUGUCUGGUGGGUAGUUUGACUGGGGCGGUCUCCUCCUAAAGAGUAACGGAGGAGCACGAAGGUUGGCUAAUCCUGGUCGGACAUCAGGAGGUUAGUGCAAUGGCAUAAGCCAGCUUGACUGCGAGCGUGACGGCGCGAGCAGGUGCGAAAGCAGGUCAUAGUGAUCCGGUGGUUCUGAAUGGAAGGGCCAUCGCUCAACGGAUAAAAGGUACUCCGGGGAUAACAGGCUGAUACCGCCCAAGAGUUCAUAUCGACGGCGGUGUUUGGCACCUCGAUGUCGGCUCAUCACAUCCUGGGGCUGAAGUAGGUCCCAAGGGUAUGGCUGUUCGCCAUUUAAAGUGGUACGCGAGCUGGGUUUAGAACGUCGUGAGACAGUUCGGUCCCUAUCUGCCGUGGGCGCUGGAGAACUGAGGGGGGCUGCUCCUAGUACGAGAGGACCGGAGUGGACGCAUCACUGGUGUUCGGGUUGUCAUGCCAAUGGCACUGCCCGGUAGCUAAAUGCGGAAGAGAUAAGUGCUGAAAGCAUCUAAGCACGAAACUUGCCCCGAGAUGAGUUCUCCCUGACUCCUUGA
rnacentral:rRNA from 1 species